rnacentral:rRNA from 1 species
GAGCGGUAACAGGUGUAGCAAUACAUGCUGACGAGCGGCGAACGGGUGAGUAAUGCUUUGGAAUCUUCCCAGUAGUGGGGAAUAACCAGUCGAAAGAUUGGCUAAUACCGCAUACGUCUGAAAAGGGAAAGCGGGGGCUCGUAAGACCUCGCGCUAUUGGAUGAGCCAAAGUCGGAUUAGCUAGUUGGUGGGGUAAUGGCCUACCAAGGCGACAAUCCGUAGCUGGUCUGAGAGGACGACCAGCCACACCGGAACUGAGACACGGUCCGGACUCCUACGGGAGGCAGCAGUGGGGAAUAUUGGACAAUGGGGGAAACCCUGAUCCAGCGACGCCGCGUGUGUGAAGAAGGCCUGCGGGUUGUAAAGCACUUUUAGUGGGGACAAAAA